rnacentral:rRNA from 1 species
GAUGAACGCUGGCGGCGUGCCUAAUACAUGCAAGUCGAGCGAACGGACGAGAAGCUUGCUUCUCUGAUGUUAGCGGCGGACGGGUGAGUAACACGUGGAUAACCUACCUAUAAGACUUGGAUAACUUCGGGAAACCGGAGCUAAUACCGGCUAAUAUUUUGAACCGCAUGGUUCAAAAGUGAAAGACGGUCUUGCUGUCACUUAUAGAUGUAUCCGCGCUGCAUUAGCUAGUUGGUAAGGUAACGGCUUACCAAGGCAACGAUGCAUAGCCGACCUGAGAGGGUGAUCGGCCACACGGGAACUGAGACACGGUCCAGACUCCUACGGGAGGCAGCAGUAGGGAAUCUUCCGCAAUGGGCGAAAGCCUGACAGAGCAAAGCCGCGUGAGUGAUGAAGGUCUUCGGAUCGUAAAACUCUGUUAUUAGGGAAGAACAUAUGUGUAAGUAACUGUGCACAUCUUGACGGUACCUAAUCAGAAAGCCACGGCUAACUACGUG